rnacentral:rRNA from 1 species
CUACGGGUCGCUGCAGUGAGGAAUCUUGCGCAAUGGGGGAAACCCUGACGCAGCAACGCCGUGUGAGUGAUGAAGGCCUUCGGGUCGUAAAGCUCUGUUAGGUGGGAAGAAAAGUGCUCGACCAAUAAUCGAGCUUCUUGACGGUACCACCAGAGGAAGCACCGGCCAACUCCGUGCCAGCAGCCGCGGUAAUACGGAGGGUGCAAGCGUUGUUCGGAAUUACUGGGCGUAAAGAGCGUGUAGGCGGCUCAUUAAGUCAGAUGUGAAAGCCCUGGGCUCAACCCAGGAAGUGCAUUUGAACUGAUUAGCUAGAGUACGAGAGAGGAAGGUGGAAUUCCUGGUGUAGAGGUGAAAUUCAUAGAUAUCGGGAAGAAUACCGGUGGCGAAGGCGGCCUUCUGGCUCGAUACUGACGCUGAGACGCGAAAGCGUGGGGAGCAAACAGGAUUAGAUACCCCCGUAGUC